AUGUUGCCUGCCUAUGAAGACCGCAUCUCUUGGAACCUAACUACCAAUGGUGUCUUCUCCUCUGUUUCGGCCUAUGGGGCGCAAUUCUUCGGCUCUCACCCUAGGUUCGACACCACCAAGGUCUGGUCCUCCCACGCCGAGCCCAAGUUUAAAUUCUUCACCUGGCUCACCCUCCAUGGAAGAAUCCUCACAGCGGACAUGCCCGCUCUGCGUGGUUGGCCACAUAAUCCCAGGUGUCUGCUAUGCCUUCAAGAGCCGGAAACGGCAAAUCACCUUUGUAAGGAUUGUCCCUUCUCGGUCGCUGUCUGGAACCAGGUGAACUCAUGGCCGAGCGAGGGUCAUCCGACCUCUGGUUACCUCCCAGAGCCAGGAAAUAUGUCGGAUUGGUGGGACAUGAUGCUUGCAAACCAAUCAAAGCAAGUGCACCGGCGGCGCAGCGGGAGGAUAAUCUACACCUUAUGGUCAAUCUGGAAGGAAAGAAAUAGGUGUGUUUUCACUGUACUAUGGGUGACGCACCGUGAGGCACAAUGUUGGCCUUCGAGGCAAUUAAGCAACGAGAGUUGGCGUUUGCUGGGGCAUGCCAACAGUGGGUAUUGGCUAAGCUAG
rnacentral:rRNA from 1 species